CGGUUUUCUUGAGUGUCAUGUAAAUGCACAUCGCCUAAAUCAAAAGCUGUUUUCAAAAAAGGAGAGAGAGGAAAGACAAAGGAAAGGGUGUCAAUCUGUAACCCAGUUUUUCACCAAGAAAGAUUUAACAACAGAUGAGUCAGCAGCACCUCAGUCUCCCCAUACCUGUCCCCCUCCCUGUCCCAGUGAAGAAGAAGGUUUAAUCAUUCCUGAAAGGCUUUGGAGAGUUUGCUUUAAGGAACUUACCGUUGGUGCCAGUGCCGGUGUCCUCUCAGUGACAGCAGGUGC